rnacentral:rRNA from 2 species
GUUUUGGUCUUAGUCGGCUGUGGAGCACAUGAAAACUCCACAGUUAAGUGUGCUCAGGUGGGAGUAGUACUAGGAUGGGUGACCUCCUAGGAAGUCUCCACCGAGGGAACCA